AUAAAACCAAGUGACGCCUCUCCUGUCUAAUAGACAAGCUUAGUGAUUCUCCGACAACACCGGAGCUCCCGGUAGAUACUGCUUGUGAGCAGCACACUGGCGCACUAGGCUGUAACUCAGGAAAAGACUGGGCCUCUUUCGGACUGAAACUGGGGGCUCCAUACAUCUACCCACAAAGAGACAGCUCCUCCACUUAGAGUCUCAACUCCCACCGAUUCCCACCCAUCUUCCCACCAGCUGACACUCGUCUCCUCUUCUCUCCUACAUCCUCUAGUGCGUGGGCAGGUCGCUCCGGUCAGGCUUUGUAAAAAAAGGAGGAGGGCUCCCCAUGUGAAAAUAGCCUAUGUCAGACCAAACCAAGCUCAGAACAAAUGAUCCUACAGGGCCAUAAGCAAACAGUAGUGAGCUCAACACCACUGAAGGCCACAAUGCACACACGCACAGACAACGUUUUAGGGAUUCAGACCCUUUCUAUAGCCGCAACAACAAUAUGACAACAACCGUAAUCCAUAUCCAGCACAACAAUUUGGCCCACACACGGAGUCAGGAUGGUAAAAGAUGCUUUCACUCACCACUGGGCUCAUGUAAGGAGACAGUGCUGUUUAACAUUUUCCACAUUUAAUAAAGUUUAAUAAAUGUUAUGAUCUGACUGUCACUGAGCUCGUAGCUGUUUCCCCCCACCUGUUAUGCUGCUCAAUGGAGUGCCUGUUGGGCAGCGAUGUUUACCGCUUGUAGCGCUUGUAAGCUCAGUUUCACAGCAAUGUCAAUGAAUCCCGCUGUUGUCAUGUUUCGCAAUCCUCUCAGAAAGAUGAAGAUGAAGACGGGCACAGGAUGGUCUCCCUCGAAGCCAGAAGUACUUUCCACGAAACACACGGUGCAGUCAGGGGCUCCAGUGUCCGUACGACGUUAGCUUGCUGUUAGUGAUGGUGCUAACCUGUUGCUAUUUGCAGACUAGUAUAGCUCUUACACACAGUACAAUAUACAAAAUUGUGUAUCUGUGUGACAAAGUUAUUAUAAACUAGCCAGGCUUCUAACUGUCUCUGUAUUUUAAUUAAAUUACACUUUUCUUUCUUUUGCAGCUGUUGGCUAACUCCACAGAAAACACACACACACACACACACACACACUGCAGAAGGCUGACCGGUGUAAAUCCGUUCCUCUCUGCCUAUUAGUCAAGCAUAGCUAUCUACAUAGACGAAUCGGAGGGCUCUCUUAAAAUAAACAUCAUAGUCUGUCACUCCUCAGAGUCAGAGGUUACCCUCUUAAAGUGACAGAGCCUAAUAUGACAACACUUGUACGCUGCUAAGCACCUUUUAACUCAAACCCAGGGAUUACAUAAUAUAUACAGUAAGUGCAAGUAUCAUCAGAGUAAAUAUAGGAACCUUCCCGCCCAGAUCUGGGAUAUAACUGCCCAUUUCGAGUAUGGCUACAGAAACCGAUAGUGGUGUACUCGCUCAUCCCUAGUUACAACCUCUUUAAGCAGUCCCCUUGAAAAUGCUUGUAAUGUCACUGUACAAAAGACAGUCAGGUCACAACAAGCUCCAGCACUAAGAGAGGAAUCCUAGUAAGACACAUUGCAAUGCAAAUCAGAGAUAUAAGUAAAUAUGGUUGAGUCUCUGUUAUGGUAACACAUAUGUAAUGGUAAGACAUGGACAGAGUCCUAUAGUACUAAUUAAGUACAUAAAACAGUAAAAGAAAAAUAAAUCUAAAACCAGUGUAGCAGAAAGUAAAUAUAAACUAGUGCAGUGCCUGUCCACAGGGGCCAAUGUGACGCCUCUUCACUUGUAAGGCCUGUGCAUUACUAACUGCAUUAAAUGGACACUCUCACUUAUUUGACGACCCCUGACCUACAGCCUUAAUUACACUGAAGGAACACGACAAUGGCGGAGAUACCGCUAGAUAUUUAGCGCUUACAACUCUGUUUCAACACAUUCCUAUAUUAUUGCCUAUAUCGAACCUGGGUGAUGUUUUUUUUACAAUUCCACAUCGGAGCAUAUAAGCCCUGUUGCGGUGAGCAUACCCCACUCUCGCUGUUGCUGCUCAGCUCUGUUCUCUAUUAUAUUUAUUAAUUCUGAACAUGUUGUGUGUUAAAAUUGCGCCAAACACGACACUACACUCCCAUGGGCCCACAGCAACAUACCCGCCAUAUUUGAAGUCGAUUGGAUGAACAGUUCCUGACAUAAUCGAAAGACAGACAGACACAUAGAGAUUUCGGUCUUUAUUGGAGAGAUACAUACAGUACAUACAUGAAUGGACAUAUGUGCAUGCAUAUAUACAAUGUAAGUGUAAAUGUAACAUUAACAUACACAAAUUAUGCUGUAUACACAAGUGAAUAAACAUACAAUGCAAAUAUACGAAAUACCUACAUAUACAAUAAAAAAAUCACUGGGGGAUAAAUCACAUCAGUUAAGAGCAAGGCAUACAUGUUAUACCCAUCUUUAUAAAGUGAGUUAUUCAUUGUUAUCAGGUUUCAAACAACGUUCUUAGUCAUGCAACAUGUAUAAGUUUUUUUUUCCUACUAUUUUAAGUCAAGGCCUUUUUCUGAAAUGCCUUUGGGCACCACAGCAGGGAGAAGAGGAAGAAGAUGCAUCAGUUUACUCCAAAAUAACAGUUUUCCUCCACCCUUGCGUACCCAGUUAUUGUAAGAAAAGUGAUGUACUGAUGGCUGUCAAAUCUUGGUGGGAAAGGUUCCUCCCACGUCAUGACAAAAUGUCCUUUAUCUUAAUACAGCACACUGGACGGGUUGGAACUAAGAAGAACUCAACCCACGUAAUGAGUCUUUUGAUCUAGCCUCCUGAGAAAUCAUUUAGACCAGUGGUUCAUUCAUGUGUCCCUAUAUAUUAUGGUUGUUUGGAGAGUAUCGUAACAGUAGCAGCUGCAGGAUGUCAAUCAGAAAAGACUCUGAGGAAGUGUCUAAUUGUGAGCUGUGAAACUAUGUGUUGUAAAAGCAAUAGCAUAACUGCAGCCAUUAUUGUAACAUCACUGUCAUCACUGUUCCCACUGUCAGGUGUCAGUAGCACCUAGGAAUAAAAUUUCCCAUCAACAGUUGAUGCCUAUAUUGACCUAUGUGCACAAAUUGCUUGCUUUAAAGCCCUGGAUCUCAUUGCACUAAAUUAACACAAGAUGUCUUCCAUGUACUUUAAACUAAUUUCACUGACAGUAACUAUUUAGUAGUGAAGCUUGUGACUUGUUUUAAGGUCGCCCUGUUGUCAUCUGUCACAUGACAAUGGGGGUACUUUGCGUCGCACUUGAGUCUUCCUCCACAGACAGAGAACUUAAAUUUCCUCUCAGAGCUAAUAGAAAUUUAACUCUGCCCAUAACUCCGCUGAGUCCUCGAGGCUCAACACUAGGCAGGGCCCUGGAGGAAAUAGCUUCAGAUGUCAUUUACUUUACUGUUCUCGUCUUAUCUUUUUCAUUUCUUCCCCCUUCCCUGCUCCCAUAUCUUUUCAUGAUGUUUGCUGUCAUUGGCAGUGGCUUGAGUGGCCACGUCGCAGAAAUAUUGAUUUAUUCCCUCCCUUUAUUCCUUUUUCCCCCUCCACUUCAACCCCCUCCUCCUUCUCCUUCCUUGUGUUGCAUCUGAGGCUCAGGGGUUGACGCACAACCAACACACUUCACUGGCAGCUCAUCCCGCUUCAUUCUUUCGCUCCUUCCCUUUUUUUGUUCUUCUGUCUCCCGAUUUCUUUUCCCUGAGACUCGAUUCUGACGUCACGUUGUGGCUUUGCUGUCUUCGAAAGCACUCUCCAUUAUGGAGUAGCUGAGAGUAGGUGUAGGGGGUAUGGUGGGGUGGGGGAGUUUUUCCUCUGCCAUCACUUCACUGUAUUCUUCCCUACAUCCAUCAAAGCAGCACGGGUCCGUGUUCAGGCACUUGGCUCGCUGUCGACCUCAGCCACUGACGACUCAUUCCCCCUGACAACACACAAAUAACUAUAAACUUUUGCUAUUAGUGAGGUCGCUGCAAAGUGAAAUGUCUUUUCCUCAGAGUGUUGUUGAGAUCUUCUUCUCUGCAAGAGAGAAAAGUGACCAGGAUUCCCAAUCUUUGUUUCAAGUGAAAAAGCAAAAGAGGCUGUUAAAAUUAUUUUUCUGCUGCAGUACAUUCUAGUGGUGGACCAAUAUGGGUUUUGCAGUGGCUGAUCUCAAAAUGACAGAUAUCGGCCCAAUUAAUCUGCUGUCUGAUUAAUCGGUCUAUCACUAGUACAUUGUGUUCAUAUUGGCUAUGAAGUGGCAUUUCACAAAUUUCAGAAGAACGACACAUUUCCUUAUUUCUUUAAGAUGAAUUAUAUAUUUAACAAUAGGUGGAUUGUUCCAACAUUAUUUGAUAUAUUAUUAAAUCUUUUAGGAAGUGAGUUGAAUUGAAAAUGGCCAGAAGUGACUAAUUCAGCUAUCAUCACCUAAGCUAUGGAAAACAACACUAGCUUUGUACCACUCCCUGGCAUCUCUUGUACUCUCUUGGACCACAAUGGACUUGGAGCCUACAAGGCUUCUCGUUCAUUAUUGUAGGAAGGGGGAUAAGGACCCUUUUAUGACCCUUGAUAAAGUGCACAAAAAGGGUAAAUAUGUCAAUCUGUCUUUGUCUCUCAUACCCCAUCGGUCUGAUUUUCAUAGUGUCUUUUCUAAAGGUUGAUUGACAACAGCCACUAAAGAAAAUGCUAAGAUCUGGGAACACAGCGUUUUUACAUGACAGUCCAAUAGGGAAAAAACACAUUAAAAACACUUGAGGUGAGGUAAUUGAAAAUGUCAGCAAUAAUCUGUCGUUGCACUGGAAAACUGUCACAACCGUGACAAGUACUACAGGUUAACAUUAGCCAGUAAGUCAGUCUGUAAACUGUGAUGGAUGUUUACAAUGAGCAGUAUGGGUAAUGAUUUUACCAUUUACGUUUGUUUUCCCUUUUAAAUAAAUUUGGCUAGCCCAAGUGAACACUGCAAUUUCAAUGAUAUUCCCUCCAUAACCCUUCACAUCAUGCUAGCCCUUAGGAGACCAGGGGCGAAUGCAACUCUACUCCAUGCUCAAAAAUACAUAUCAGUUGCCAUGACUGCUUUGUUUGAUUACUAAUGUGUAUUGAAAAUAAUGUCUUCCCACCAAACAGAUGCCCAGAGUCUGCUGCUGAAGAGGACAUUAGCAUUGUUGCUUUACUAGCUCCCAUUAGCAGUAAACAAAUGCACCUGUCUCUGUUUACCAUCUCUGCUAUAUUGCCUCUGACAACGCACCGACGCCAAGUCAUAAACACAGAGGAGGAGCAAUUCAUCUUUAUUGCAUGUAAUCAUUCUAAACAUCCACAUGGGCUAUCUGUCCCUCUAAGACAGGUAGGGAGGUAGCCAAAUAAUAUCCCCCCUGUGGCUGAGGUUCAUCAUUUCGCCUGAGUGAUCCCGUUGGUCCAGAAGUAUGUCAAGUUUACCAUGUGGGUUUAUAGUUAGUGUUUUUAUCUCUUUCUGUUGAAGUUGCCUAUGUGGCAUUCACCAUGUUAACAGCAGGUGAUGUACUACGUGUGAUAUAAUGGCUUUUAUUAGUGAGCAUGAUUAAAGUCAGCCGGGAGGGGGAACGGGCAGGUGCUGGGCUGAUGAGCAGAGUGACAGUGUUAAUAGACUGAGGCUCCAGGGAGGUGGCCCCCGUUUGCAGCACCAAUCUGUCUUGAUUUUUGCACAUUGCCUUCUUCAAUUACACUAAGUGUUUAGCUCUAGUCACUGGCAACCUCGGCAUGCAUACACCGUCGCUGGGGAUACAGGAGCAUACCGUACAUUACGCAGAGUACAUUAUGCAUGAAAAUAAAAAACACAAGUCAGUCGUGCUAUCGUUUUGAAAUGUUAUCAAGUCACACUCUAACUUUUUUCCCCCCUGAAUUUGUUAGCAGCAGUGACUACAGUUCUCUGAUUGGAUAUGUGCUGGCCUCUAAUCUGUAGGAGCUGCUGCCCUAUCUCUAAGAUGUGUCCAUGCUCUUCGCUCAGCGAGAAGAGAGAGAUGAUGCAGAGAUAAGACAUUGAGGGAUACUCUUUCUUCACAGGGACACAGAGGGAAUUAAAGGUGUCCUCUCCCACCUGGAAAAAAAAGGUUAUUAUCUUCAUCCCCUAGCCUCUUCAGCUGACACCACGCAGCACCUUUACUCAAGAUAAGACCUAAUCUGGACUCUUGCUUAUGUCUUUAUUUACUUGUGUCAAGGUUAUGAGCUACAGCACACCAAACAUGCUGUCCCUAUUCAGUCAAACCUGACAACAGUGAGGAAAACAAAUUGAUGCUGUCUAUGUAUUAUGUGAGUGUAUAAUAAGGUAACUGUUCAAAGUAAACACGAACCUGCUGUUUGGUUUCAAAAGCCUCUUGAAUUCAGGUUAUCGACUUUUGCAAAGUGAAAGCAAGGGGAAUGCAACUGCACAUUAAUUAAGGACAUGGCGUCGGAGCUGAAUUCUCCAGUGAAACUAAUGUAAAUUAAGAGUAUAUUUGCGAGUGACAGAAUGAGAAAGACAUCAGCAGUCUUUUGACGAUUCUUUGUUCAAGCACCGAAUGAUCUUCUUGGAUUCGUCUUGACACAAUGAACAACCAUCGAGAGAACAGCUGUCAACAGAAAUGUACAUUCUACCAGGUACCGAUACAUAUGAACCAAAAUGGCCUAAGCAGCAAGUUGUCUUCUGUCUUAGAGUGAAUGUGGGUUCCUCCUCAGGAGAGAGUGGCUUGUUAUGUGGGAUGCUGAUGACAGGCAGUGAAUCUAAAUUCCUAUAGAUUGUUUCUAUAACCUUUCUCAACUGAGGAAUAACAGAGACGUGAUCCCAGCACCACUGCUCUUUAGAUUGCUCCCUUGCUGUCACUUGACACAAAUAAGACAGUGACGCCUGGGAUGUGGCACUGCUUACCUCUGCAUCGAGCGGGGGGAACGUGCCAUCUUUUGACCCCCUGAUGCAUUUCAGAAAAGGUCAAGCUGACAGUCGUCAUCUCAUCAAUCCGCUGUUGUGACUCUGUCAAUCUUCCCUGGGACCCCUCCGGAGGUGGGGUGGUGGGUGGAGAGCAUUAGAGAACAAAUUUACCCAUUCUGAUUCUUCACCACCCACCCUUUGUUUGCCUUAGAGAGAUGGACGGGUGGUGGUGGGGGGGGGGGGGUUGACCUUCGUGACCACCUUAUCUUGUGGAAAGGUCACAGCAAGGCCUCUCGAAAAUCAGAGGGGUGGGGAGGAUCGAUCUGGAGGCUUUCUUUUAUUUAUCUCAGUAGACAUGCUGCUCCUGGUGUUCUUCCAGGCCAAUGGUGAGGGGGAGAGAUAACGAUCUAUUAGUGUUGCAGAUAUCCUCCUCCUUACCUCUCUCCCCCUGCAGCCCCCUCUGUCCCUUGCCUUCCCUGUCAGACACCCUAACUCUAUAGAGGGCCCUGGCCCCGAGCCAGAGGCAUUUGGUAGAAUGAAACUUGGAGGUCAUCGGAAUGAGAUGGUUGACAUCCCGGGGUCAACACGAUCAAGCCAUGUCAUUGCUUAAUACAGUGUAUGGAAGGGUGAGAAAUCAGGCCGCCCUGAUAGAGGCUGCAGAGCUAUUAGAACUGUAAGAGCAAGUGUGUGUGUGUGUGGAUGUGGGGGGGAUCACAUACACUUUUCUGUCCUGUCCCCUUUGACUUUUGCAGUGCAGUGUAUUAAUGGCCCGCUCUUAUCACCAUUUAUCAUUUGAACAGUGCAAUAUAUAGGAAGUGGUUGCAUCAGUAGAGGGAAAACAAAGGCAAGAUAGAGAUGUUACACAGUGAGAUGAUUGUGUCGCUGAGAGCUUGGAUGAUUUAAUUAAAGAGUUUUCCAUUCCGCUGUUUUCAGGUCUGCGUUUUCUUUGGAGAUGGAAAAGGAAACAAAUGACUCAUUGACAUUGCUGCUGACUCACACAUAGCUCAAGAUGUCUUAAGUCCCUAGCACUGAUGAUAUUCAUGCAGCACACACAAAUGUGAGUGCACAAACACACAAUCACAAGUCUACUUUUAUUUACCAAAACACCACUUUAGUAUGCACAUAACACUUUGGCACGUAGUAAAACCUCCCCACCCAAACAUGCUCCGAAUAUUUCUCCAUUACCCCACCAUCAUGGUCAAUUAGGCCCCACUUUCUCCACCUUUUAUCUCCUUAACCAGGGUCCUCAUCUGCUGCUUGUGUCACAGGGCCUUCAGAUAAAUAAUUCAGCAGAGGGAAUGGGGAGGGGGUGGGAUUUACAGCUCCUAUCUUACCCAGUUAGGCUGUAAAUUCUGAAUGAGGGGAAACAGGAGAAUAUAGUAGAGGAUAAGAGAAAAAGGGAGAAGGCGAAGGGAGAUGAGGGAGGAGAAGGGCUGUGGGGAAGUGGUCCCCUGGGGGCCAUAGUCUCACACAGGCAACAUCAUAAAGUCACCAUUAGAAUGCUGUAUUUAUAACAGUGGGUUUGCCUCGGGCUGUGGCUGUGAUACUGAGUCCUCCUCCCUCCAAACACACAUAUGCAUGCGCGCGCACACACACACACACACACACACACACGCACACACACGCUGUCUCUCUCACUCCGUCUCUAUGGAACACAAUAAUCACACAAGUAUAUCCCCCCCCCCACACGCACACACAAGCACACACAAACACACACACACAGCACCUAUAUCCACAUGAUGAUGUCUUUUUUCCUCUGUAUUAGUGGAGUCUCUUCAUAAAACACACACUGUGUCCCUAUAUAUGGUGUUCAGCAGGGCGCCGGCAUCUCAGAAUAUCAAUGGCUUAAUGAGGCGAGGGCUCUUUCUGAUGUGCCGCAACAUUGACUCUUUGAGGGGAACACGGCGAGUGAAGCGACUCUGUGAAGAGAUAACAACGACCCCCGAUGGACUGUUGGCCAUCUCGGAGCAUGCUCAGUAGUGCCUGACAUAAUGGCUGCCUGUAAUGAUAUAAGACAUGUCUGUGUAUGAGGAUCCUUACGCCUUUUGUCAACGCUGUAUCAUAACAUUUGAAAGGCUACUGAGGGGUUUUGCUUUAGGGUUAUUCUUGUUCAAGAUCUAAUAAAUUGAACUGAUUUUCAGUCUUUAUACUUCUUGGAUCA